UACGAAGGGGGGCUAGCGUUGCUCGGAUUCACUGGGCGUAAAGGGUGCGUAGGCGGUCGGGUAAGUCUGAUGUGAAAUCUCACAGCUUAACUGUGAAACUGCAUUGGAUACUAUCCGGCUCGAGGAAUGGAGGGGAGACUGGAAUACUUGGUGUAGCAGUGAAAUGCGUAGAUAUCAAGUGGAACACCAGUGGCGAAGGCGAGUCUCUGGACAUUUCCUGACGCUGAGGCACGAAAGCCAGGGGGAGCAAACGGG
rnacentral:rRNA from 1 species